UACUUUGACCAAGUCAACCGCAACACGCCCGAUCUCUUCAGAUCUCGGAAGCUAAGCAGAUUGGAGCCUGGAUAGUUUUUGGAUGGGUGACCACCAUGCACACGGAUCAUUUGGGUUA
rnacentral:rRNA from 1 species